UAGUACGAGUUUUGAAUAAUGCACAGUUAGUCACAGACAGACAUGGAAGACAGUCGUUCUUUUCAGAGCCUGAUUGAAGUGAUUGACGAAUUUGGCACCAUGUUUUUGGCUGAGACACGAAUUUUGAUGCUGAAAGACUUGGAAACCAUACUGUCGACCACGUCGAGAAGCUGAGUAACAUUGUGCUUUUACAAAGGCACCUCUUAAUUAAAGGAACUUAAGCCAUCCAAUAUAGGACUUCCAUCAAAUCGUGUAGGCUGCAUGGAAGUCACAUUUACCUUUGCUGUGAACAUCAUGAACACAUACACUAUUUGAAGGUUCAUGUUUACGUAGCAGUGGUGUUGCUGUCCAAUGUGGCGUGUUGUUGCAGCCUAUGGUGGUGAAAGAUAUCUACAUCAAGUUGCUGUUCCUUGUGCAUCCAAGGUGCUGGUUUUGUGCUACAGAAGUGACAUCCAAUAUUGUCUUUGAUUGCUAUUUGUGUCUUUGCAGUUUACCUUUACAUAUUGAGAAGGAACAAAAAAAAUAGUAAUACGGGGAGGUUUAUGUCAAACAAAUAAUAAACAUGUCCAGCAUGGGGGAAUGAGGAGGAAGUUGGGGUGGGGUAUUUGGUUAUGAUUUACUAAAAGAAGUGAGGUAUAUUUUUAAUGAAUAUGCAGUACUUGGUGAUAAAAUCUGUUGUUAACCUAUACCUUCCUGUCAUCCUAUACCUUCCUCACUUACAUAUCCAUCCCUCAAACCCCAUAAGCACCAGCAUCAAAUCCCACAUCCACUUACAUCCAUUCCUAAAACCUCACAAUCUACAACAUCAAAUUCACACAAUUGUUGUGUAUCCAUUAUCAAAUUUAUAUGUAAAUAAAUAAAAUGCCAUUGUAUAAAAUU